UACGUAGGGGGCUAGCGUUGUCCGGAAUCAUUGGGCGUAAAGCGCGUGUAGGCGGUCCGGUAAGUCCGCUGUGAAAGUCCAGGGCUCAACCCUGGAAUGCCGGUGGAUACUGUCGGGCUCGAAUCCGGAAGAGGUGAGUGGAAUUCCUGGUGUAGCGGUGAAAUGCGUAGAUAUUGGGAGGAACACCAGUGGCGAAGGCGGCUCACUGGACCGGUACUGACGCUGAUGCGCGAAAGCGUGGGGAGCAAACGGG
rnacentral:rRNA from 1 species